UACAGAGGGGGCAAGCGUUGUUCGGAAUUACUGGGCGUAAAGGGCGCGUAGGCGGCCUUCUAAGUCGAACGUGAAAUCCCUGGGCUCAACCCAGGAACUGCGUCCGAUACUGGAAGGCUUGAAUCCGGGAGAGGGAUGCGGAAUUCCAGGUGUAGCGGUGAAAUGCGUAGAUAUCUGGAGGAACACCGGUGGCGAAGGCGGGUCUCUGGGCAGUAACUGACGCUGAGGAGCGAAAGCGUGGGGAGCGAACAGG
rnacentral:rRNA from 1 species